rnacentral:rRNA from 1 species
UACAGAGGGGGCGAGCGUUAUUCGGAAUUAUUGGGCGUAAAGGGCGCGUAGGCGGCUUUGCAAGUGACGGGUGAAAUCCCUCGGCUUAACCGAGGAACUGCCUGUCAGACUGUAAGGCUUGAGACCGGGAGAGGUGAGUGGAAUUCCCAGUGUAGAGGUGAAAUUCGUAGAUAUUGGGAAGAACACCAGUGGCGAAGGCGGCUAUCUGGACCGGUACUGACGCUGAGGUGCGAAAGCGUGGGGAGCAAACAGG